GGCAUGGAUUAGGCAUGCAAGUCGCGCGCGAAAGCCUUCGGGCGAGUAAAGCGGCGAAAGGGUGAGUAACACGUAACCAACCUGCCCUCCAGAUCGGGAUAACCGUGGGAAACUGCGGGUAAAACCGAAUGGUUCCAUCGGGAGGCAUCUUCUGGUGGAUAAAUGGCGGCUUCGGCCGCCGCUGGGGGAGGGGGUUGCGGCCUAUCAGCUUGUUGGUGAGGUAACGGCCCACCAAGGCUAUGACGGGUAGCCGGUCUGAGAGGAUGGUCGGUCACACUGGGACUGAGACACUGCCCAGACUCCUACGGGAGGCUGCAGUCGAGAAUCUUCCGCAAUGGGCGAAAGCCUGACGGAGCGACACCGCGUGCAGGAUGAAGGCCUUAGGGUUGUAAACUGCUGUCACGCUAUAGGAACUGCGCGUCGUUAAUAUCUACGCGUUUGACCAAAGCGAGAGGAAGCACCGGCUAACUCCGUGCCAGCAGCCGCGGUAAGACGGAGGGUGCAAACGUUGUUCGGAAUCACUGGGCAUAAAGCGCACGUAGGCGGCCUUUCAAGUCAGGUGUGAAAGCCCACGGCUCAACCGUGGAACGGCACUUGAAACUGAAUGGCUAGAGGACGGUUGGGGUGAGUGGAACUCCUGGUGGAGCGGUGAAAUGCGUAGAUAUCAGGAGGAACACCGGUGGCGAAAGCGGCUCACUGGACCGUAACUGACGCUCAGGUGCGAAAGCUAGGGUAGCGAACGGGAUUAGAUACCCCGGUAGUCCUAGCCGUAAACGAUGGGUACUAGGUAGGGGGAAUUCCUAUGGUUUUCUCUACCGCAGCAAAUGUGUUAAGUACCCCGCCUGGGGAGUACGCUCGCAAGAGUAAAACUCAAAGGAAUUGACGGGGGCUCACACAAGCGGUGG
rnacentral:rRNA from 1 species